rnacentral:rRNA from 1 species
UCAUACCUAUUUGAAGGGAUAGGGUCGGUUCGGCCGGGUUUCACACAGGUGUUGCAUGGCUGUCGUCAGCUCGUGUCGUGAGAUGUUGGGUUAAGUCCCGCAACGAGCGCAACCCUCAUCCUUAGUUACCAUCAGGUAAUGCUGGGGACUUUAAGGAAACUGCCAGUGAUAAACUGGAGGAAGGUGGGGAUGAUGUCAAGUCAUCAUGGCCCUUAUGGAGUGGGCUACACACGUGCUACAAUGGUGGCUACAAUGGGCUGCAAAGUCGCGAGGCUAAGCUAAUCCCUUAAAAGCCAUCUCAGUUCGGAUUGUACUCUGCAACUCGAGUGCAUGAAGUUGGAAUCGCUAGUAAUCGUGG